UACGUAGGGUGCAAGCGUUAAUCGGAAUUACUGGGCGUAAAGCGUGCGCAGGCGGUUUUGUAAGUCUGUCGUGAAAUCCCCGGGCUUAACCUGGGAACUGCGCUUGUUACUGGCAGGCUUGAGUGUGGCAGAGGGGGGUGGAAUUCCACGUGUAGCAGUGAAAUGCGUAGAGAUGUGGAGGAACACCGAUGGCGAAGGCAGCCCCCUGGGCUAACACUGACGCUCAUGCACGAAAGCGUGGGGAGCAAACAGG
rnacentral:rRNA from 1 species